rnacentral:rRNA from 1 species
AAUAGAUACCCGGGUAGUCCACGCCGUAAACGAUGAGUGCUAAGUGUUGGGGGGUUUCCGCCCCUCAGCGCUGCAGCUAACGCAUUAAGCACUCCGCCUGGGGAGUACGGUCGCAAGACUGAAACUCAAAGGAAUUGACGGGGGCCCGCACAAGCGGUGGAGCAUGUGGUUUAAUUCGAAGCAACGCGAAGAACCUUACCAGGUCUUGACAUCCCGGUGACCACUAUGGAGACAUAGUUUCCCCUUCGGGGGCAACGGUGACAGGUGGUGCAUGGUUGUCGUCAGCUCGUGUCGUGAGAUGUUGGGUUAAGUCCCGCAACGAGCGCAACCCUUAUUCUUAGUUGCCAUCAUUCAGUUGGGCACUCUAAGGAGACUGCCGGUGAUAAACCGGAGGAAGGUGGGGAUGACGUCAAAUCAUCAUGCCCCUUAUGACCUGGGCUACACACGUGCUACAAUGGACGGUACAAACGGUUGCCAACCCGCGAGGGGGAGCUAAUCCGAUAAAACCGUUCUCAGUUCGGAUUGUAGGCUGCAACUCGCCUACA